UACCAGCACCCCGAGUGGUCGGGACGUUUAUUGGGCCUAAAGCAUCCGUAGCCGGUUCUACAAGUCUUCCGUUAAAUCCAGCUGCUUAACAGAUGGGCUGCGGAAGAUACUAUGGAGCUAGGAGGCGGGAGAGGCAAGCGGUACUCGAUGGGUAGGGGUAAAAUCCGUUGAUCCACUGAAGACCACCAGUGGCGAAGGCGGCUUGCCAGAACGCGCUCGACGGUGAGGGAUGAAAGCUGGGGGAGCAAACCGG
rnacentral:rRNA from 1 species